rnacentral:RNase_P_RNA from 1 species
UGGGCUGGCCGGGCGACCGCGUCGCCGUACCCCCGGGUGCGGUGCCGAGGAAGGUCCGGGCUCCACAGAGCGAGGUGGUGGGUAACCCCCACCCGGGGCAACCCGCGGGACAGUGCCACAGAGAACAGACCGCCGCCCGGCUCCGGCCGGGAGGUAAGGGUGAAACGGUGGAGUAAGAGCCCACCAGCGAUCCGGGUGACCGGAUCGGCUCGGCAAACCCCACCUGGAGCAAGGUCAAGAAGUCCGGCGCCUUCGGGCAUCGGACGCGCGCACGUCCGAGGGCUGCUCGCCCGAGUGCGCGGGUAGACCGCUGGAGGCUGUCGGCAACGGCAGUCGUAGAUGGAUGGUCGCCCCCCGGCUCGCCGGGGACAGAACCCGGCCUACAGGCCAGCCCAUUCG